rfam:Sphingobacterium sp. CZ-TAM QB.A_4, whole genome shotgun sequence.
UUGUAUUAACAAAAAAAGAAAUGAUAAUAACUGUAUUAAAUAAAGCUUGGUGGUGGCACGACGAAUAACGUUGUGGCAAACACCUAUUGCAUUAUUUGAUAUAUACAUCAAGAUAUGAUGGGCUUGCC